AACGAACGCUGGCGGCAGGCUUCACACAUGCAAGUCGAACGCACCGCAAGGUGAGUGGCAGACGGGUGAGUAACACGUGGGGAUCUGCCCAAUGGUACGGAAUAGCUCCGGGAAACUGGAAUUAAUACCGUAUGUGCCCUUUGGGGGAAAGAUUUAUCGCCAUUGGAUGAACCCGCGUCGGAUUAGCUAGUUGGUGUGGUAAAGGCGCACCAAGGCGACGAUCCGUAGCUGGUCUGAGAGGAUGAUCAGCCACACUGGGACUGAGACACGGCCCAGACUCCUACGGGAGGCAGCAGUGGGGAAUAUUGGACAAUGGGCGCAAGCCUGAUCCAGCCAUGCCGCGUGAGUGAUGAAGGCCCUAGGGUUGUAAAGCUCUUUCGCCGACGAAGAUAAUGACGGUAGUCGGAGAAGAAGCCCCGGCUAACUUCGUGCCAGCCGCCGCGGUAA
rnacentral:rRNA from 1 species